AAUAAUCUUGUAUCAUCUUCAGGCUGUGUCACCUCACUACUCACCCUCAGCUUCCUUCGAAGACGCCUCGAGCAGCCUGUGUGCCCGUGACAAAGUGAGGGAACCCAGCAAAUGCUGCUUGCCAGCCUGCCAGGGAACUGCUCACUACAAUUUUCCCUGCUCCUGGCUGUGGUUGCCCAUGGGUGGCAGAACCAUCCGUCAGCCUACACAGAGACAGGAAAAGGCCCUGGCACCUCCCACUAGCUCUGUCUGGGGACUGCAGAGAUGAAGGUGCAACAGCAUCUCUGGGGAUGGCCUGGGAGCUGGAGUGAAUUUUUCUAACUGCUGCUUCAGCCUUCAGAUCUUGUUGCUCCUCUAUGAGAC
rnacentral:lncRNA from 1 species